CUGAGGAAUCAAACCCAGGGCUUCAUGUAUACCAGGCAAACACUCUUGCCACUAGGCCAUAUUCCCAGCCCCCAGGCCCUGCUUUUAUGGCAGCCUCUGCAAAGGAUCCCAUUCCCAACUCAAGUGAAUCCUUAGGUUGGUACCCCCAGGUUUUGUUUGCAGUAUAAAUGUAUCAGAUAAAUGCAAAUAUAUCCAAGAUUGAAUUCACAUUCAGAUAACUAAGUUUGUCAGAUUGCUUGUUUUUCUCAGAUCACAUCCAUUUCAAGGAAAAAGUGGCUUUAGAGAUAUGAAUACCAUUCUAUUAGUGCCUCCCUCACUUACUUUUGCCUUACUAUGCCCUAAGAUGGGACAAAGGAG